UUUUUCUGGGCCUUGGUUUCCUCAUCAAGCUGCCCUGCAGGCAGCAGUCAUGAACUCCUGGCCCGUUUCUGUUUUUUUUCCCUAUUAUGCUGUAGGAGCCUCUGUGGAGAAUACAGUUGGGAGAGUGGCUGCCCACAGACCCAGGGCACAGGCACUUUGGCAACUGGACAGACAGUUGGAGUGGUUCACAGUGCUGGGAGCAGCUUGAGAAUGUACCUCCUGUCCGGGCAGACCUCCUUUUCUUGGUAGGUCACUGUGGUGCUUCUCACAUGAGCUGUGAGCCGUAGCCCUGGAAUUCUCAGUAUGUGCAAGGUGAGUGUUCAGUAUGUGUUUCUCUUCGACAGCCUCACUCAUUUCAGAGACGGAAAUCACUGAGGGCUGGACAUCAGAGACUUUCCAGGGCUAUUAAGUCUGUCUGAGUUCCGGGUCUGAGUCCCUCCCUACACCCCCGCCCCGUACUCAGUGGACAGUUCACACCGUCCAUAGAUCCUCACCUGCUCCCACGUUCAAUCAGGGGCUUCUCGCUCUCUUCCUCCAGAGAGAGCAUGGCCAGCUUCCUGCGUAUGAGGAUGGAUACUUUCUGCUUUGGGGGCUCCAUUCCUGACAGGAAAGAGGUGUGUUAUUGACUGUGACCUCGCGGACAGCUUGAGAAGCAGGGACCUGACACGUGGUCAUAUUUAGAGACGAGAGACCUCACCCUGGAAAGAAUGGUGAAUGCUGCUUAUCGGAUGUUUAGCCGGGGGAUCCAACCGCGGCAUGAUUUCCUGGUAAGGAGAGCGGGGCUCUGAGAGUGAGUGUAGCACUCUUCAAGAGAGCAGCUGGCAAUGCACACCUCCCACUAUCCAACCCUCCAUCUUUCGGUCUGUCCAUCUGUCUUUCCAGUAUGGGGCCUCUGCUCCCUGACAUGUUCACCAGGCCCCAGUAGUCACCAAACGGAAACCAAGAAACUAGCUGGAUACAUGCCUAUGGCCCGCACCAGGAAGUCGAGGCAGAUUGGUCUCCUGCACUAAUGCAUAUUUCAAGAGCUUCUUCAGGCGCAGGGGGACUCUGGUGGUCUCUUAACCUGCAGCUCCAUCUCAGCCAUGCUAUGCCCACAUUCUUCCUCGAAGGCGGGGGUUGGCUGAGUGCCUUGUGCCGUCAUUGCCACAGGGACUGCUUCUUUUGGGAAACGUGUGUCUGGGUUUUGUGUGCUUUUAAGACUGACCUGUGAGAGUUCUGUGCACCCCAGGGAUAGCUGAUCUUUCUCUGCCUCACGGGUUGUGAGGAGGAACACUCUUCAGAUUUUUUGUUUCUUUCCAUACUGAACUUCCCCCCACCCCCAUUUUAGUUUUGGCCACAAAAGUACCGCCAUUUCCUUUAUGUCCUCUGAUUCUCAGUCUGUAUAUUCAGGAUCAGUGCCCUAACCCUAAGAGUAUGAACCCAUUCCCUGCCAGGGUUUUAUUUUGAUAUUUACUCUUCAGUUCGGCUGGCAUUUACUUGCUCAGCCAAAACAUUGUUUUUCUGAUGAAAAUAAGUAAAAAUCAAUCAGUCCACUUGUGAUGUACGUUAAAUUAGUAAACCAUCAUGUGUUCUUUGAGCUCACUAAGAAGCUGGCCCUGGAAGGAGCCUGCUCACCCCGUUCCUCACUUCAGACCCAAGCAUGUUUGUCUCAAAGCAUCCUCCGAAGCCACAAGGGAAUAGGCUGCCCAAACUCUGUGAUGUGGAGAGAAGAAAACAUCAAAAUGGCCCUAGAAGAAUGUCCUUGAGAACAACUAGAAUCCCUACUACUUCCAACAGAGGGCCACAGCACAAGGCUGGAGUACCACUUACGUGGAACCUGGAUGUCAUCAAUGGUGAUCACUUCAUCCAACUGUAUCAGGAACCUCUCUGUGAAGGAGGCCAAAUUCGCUAUGAAGAAGCGGGCAUACUUCUUGGCAGUUUCCUGGAAGAAACAGAGUGAAAGUGGACCUCAGAAACAAGCCGCUACCAGGCUAGCAGGAGAUCAUCUGGUCCACCUUCUGCUGCCUCAGCUCCUCCCUGAUUCGUAGCGACUCCAUUUGACUGCUGUAUGUGGGGUGGCCAAGAUUCGGAUGGAGCUUCUGAGCGUUUUCUUCCUUCAAUCAAACAAGGCAGAAAUGAGCAGGGAUUUCAACUAACACUCGAAAUCAGGACCCAUGUCUUCUGUCCUGCGUGUAGAUGGGUGUGUCCCGUGUGUGAUCUGAGUGUGGGAAGAAGAUAGGAGUGUGGUUGGUACUCAGUGGGUUGGAAAGAAGGUGAGCUAAGUACCUGUUCCAGCACAAUCUGGGUCUUUAGCCCAAUAAAGUCAGCACCAAUCAUAUCCCACAGCACCAAGGGACAUUGUCUGACUAUUGAUCUCAAUGACCAAGGCCCUAUCAAAGAUUUCAAACACAGCCUAGAGUUCGUUUGGGGAGUGCCUUGAACCCCAGAGAUCUCUAUUGGCUUAGUUACCAAUUUGCUGGUAUGCCCUGUCCCCAGCAGCCUUUCUCAUGACCUGCCUCCAUUUUCAACUCCCUUCACUCCUGGCCCCGUGACCAUCACCUUCUCCUUCUCUAGCUGCUUCUGCUGCUGCUCAAACUGCUCCUGGACCUCCUUCAUGGAUGCAUGAAACUUGCUCCAGUGCUGUUCCUUGUAGUUCUCUGUCACAAGCCAACACACCUGGGGCAGCAGCUCCUCAAACCUCCUCACCUGGGCACGUAAUUCUGCAGGAAUCGAGGGGAAGGUAUCAGGAACAGCAGAAGAGAUGGGAGUUGCUGAAGCCAUGUCCCUGACACAGGGAGAACAUUGGUCUCCAGUGUGAUAAGAGCUAGUCUGUCCAAAGGAGGUCUGCAGCCAGACCGAGGAUAUAGGGAGGGUGCGGCUGCUACAAGGAAGAGAGCAGAAGUCCCCACCAGCAGAGUAGGCAUCAAUGAGAGAGGAGCACAGUCUACAGGGCUUCCCGAGAACACUGGCCUCAGGGCCUUGGCUUUGAGGACAACCAUAGAGAAUGGGGUCCCUCUGAGCUCACUGGGAAAUGUGCUGUACAGCUUGGAUUUCACUCAUUCUGCAAUCAUGGGCUGUGGCCUGUCAUUCCCUGUGAUUAAUCCCCAAGGUAGCCUACCUUGGUGUACAGACAAGAAAACAGAGGCUCAGAGAGGUACAAUCACCUUGCUGAAGUCGAACAGCUUCGAGAUAACAGGGCUAAGGGUUGGCCCCAGGUCUGGGUGCUUCCUCAUGCCCCCUUCCCUGACAUACUUCCCCCUGCUACCUCUGAAAUCACACCACAGAGAUCAAUAAAGUGAUAUGCCCCGAGGAAUAUUAUUCUGUGAUUUUUUA